rnacentral:misc_RNA from 1 species
AACGCAAGUUGCGCCCAAAGCCUUCGGGCCGAGGGCACGUCUGCCUGGGUGUCACGCAACGUCGCUCCCCCAAUCCCAAAAAUGAACCAAAGUCGACGGGCGCCACAGCAUUCGGUGGUUGAAAAUACCCUUACGAUGCCGCUUUCAUUCGGUCAAUCCAACAGGGAUCUCAACGACCCUCUUUGUAUCCGACGCGACCCCAGGUCAGGCGGGAUUACCCGCUGAGUUUAA